rnacentral:lncRNA from 1 species
AAAUCCUUUAUUUUUUUAUUUUUUCUUAUUGGGCCAUUAUCUUAAUUGGGUUGGGCUUAGUUCUGGGUCGUAACAUUCUUCUCCCUUAACAAAAAUUUUAUCCUUGAAAUUUUUCGUACCUGUGGUCUCGAAGAGCUAGGGAUAUUUCUGCUUCAUUUCUUCCUCUAGUUUCUAAGUGGCUUCUCUUUCCGAAUGAUGACUCCACUGUACCUUGAUAUAGGGAAUAUUACGAUGUCUUAACACUUAUUCUUUACAAUCCACGAUCCGUAC